ACCCAAUAGAUACCCGGGUAGUCCACGCCCUAAACGAUGUAUGCUUGGUGUUGGCUCGUAUGAGUCAGUGCCGUAGGUAAACCUGAUAAGCAUACCACCUGGGGAGUACGCUCGCAAGGGUGAAACUCAAAGGAAUUGACGGGGGCCCGCACAAGCGGUGGAGCAUGUGGUUUAAUUCGAGGCUACGCGAAGAACCUUACCUGGGCUUGAACUGCCGGUAGUAGGACCCUGAAAGGGGAACGACCCGCAAGGGAGCCGGCGGAGGUGCUGCAUGGCUGUCGUCAGCUCGUGCCGUGAGGUGUUGGGUUAAGUCCCGCAACGAGCGCAACUCCUACCCUUAGUUGCCAUCAGGUUAUGCUGGGCACUCUAAGGGGACUGCCUACGCAAGUAGUGAGGAAGGUGGGGAUGAUGUCAAGUCAUCAUGGUCCUUACGUCCAGGGCUACACACGUGCUACAAUGAACGGUACAAUGGGCAAAACCGCAAGGUGGAGGCAAUCCCAAAAAACCGUUCUCAGUACGGAUUGGAGUCUGCAACUCGACUCC
rnacentral:rRNA from 1 species